CUACACUGCAAAAACACUUUUGUUAUUGUGACACAGUUUGCUACCGGCACAAAAUGUUAUCUUGACAAAACGUUUGUCAAUUUCCUGCAAUUAUUGUUAUAACGACAAAUCAUAGUUUAUUUAACUAUUAAUAUAGUUUAUCUAACUAUUAAUAUUUGUUAUUAUAAUGGUAGAUUGUUAUUUGAACACAUGUGUUGUCAUUUUGUCGAAGCGUUGUUGAUCUCACAUUUAGUGGAAGUUACCGUUCAUUGUCAAAUUAACAUUAAUGUGUGACAAUAACAAAUUAUAAAGUUACAGCUAGAACUCUACUAAAAGAUACGUGCAAGUUUGCAUCACUGAUUUCAACCUACUCAACCUAUACUCGAUUACCCUAGCUCGUAAUAAAUUGUCUACACUGAAACAUCUCAGUCUUAUAUCUUUGCAUGCUCAUGUUCAAUUGUGUAUGUAGCAAUUGGAGACUUGUGACUGGGCAUGGUAAGUUACAGUGGCAGUGAAGAAGUCAGGAGCCUCCAGAGUCCUUCAGUGUAGUGCAGUGCAGGCAGCCUUCUCUCUAUAGCCUCCUUCACAAGGCCUGGCCUGAAGAGCGGCCUGGGAUCGAGCUUCUCUCUAGCCUCUAACUCUAGCUAGUCUCGAGGCCAGGAGAGUUUGGCCUCGAGACUAUAAUUAUAAGCUGGAACUAUAGGUGUGGCAUGAGGGGGCGUUCAGGAAUAACAGGGCAAGGCCUCCUUAGCACAUGGUGCUAGCAGCUGCAGCAGUCUGCUGCUGCUCAUGCAGCUUUAAUUUAUACCAUCACUGACUGCAUGCCUGUACCCCUGGCCCUGGGCUACCAUGUUCCAUGUACACCAGCUAGGAUCUAGGAGUCAAGAGUCACCUGCAUCUGCAGCUUGAAAGAAAAGACAAUUGCAAAUUUUCUUAAAGAGUAGAUAGUACCACCAUCUCAAAGAAAAAAUUUACAAAUCACUGCUAUACCGUAUCGGCGUAUAACUCCACCAUGUACCAGCUUCAAAGAAAAAGGAUUUAAGUUAUGUUGCUCAUUGCUAAAUAAAUGUGUUUACGUGUUUCUUCCAGCUGCAGAUUUUACCAUACCUCGGCCCCACAAUGUGUACCAGCUAGGAGUCUACUUAACCACCUUCAUCGACUUCAAAAAAACGACUUGCAAGUUAUGUCAGAUUCCAUAAAACUAUAUAGCUAGCUAGAGGGCAACUGUCCCUGGCCUGAUUUCGACCUUCAUCUGUAGCAUACUGAUUUACGAGUUUGUGUCUUCAUGCACUGGUUUUGACUGGUCAACUUCGUCCAUGGGGUGAUAGCUAGCAUACUGAUUUACGAGUUUGUGUGUAUGUGUCCUCAUGCGUCAGUUACACUGGUUUCGACUGGUCAACUUCGUCCAUGGGGUGAUAGCUAGCAUUGUAAUUUACCAGUUUGUGUGUAUGUGUCCUCAUGCGUCAGUUACACUGGUUUCGACUGGUCAACUUCGUCCAUGGGGUGAUAGCUAGCAUUGUAAUUUACCAGUUUGUGUGUAUGUGUCCUCACAUGUCAGUUACACUGGUUUCGACUGGUCAACUUCGUCCAUGGGGUGAUAGCUAGCAUUGUAAUUUACCAAUUUGUGUGUAUGUGUCCUCACGUGUCAGUUACACUGGUUUCGACUGGUCAACUUCGUCCAUGGGGUGAUAGCUAGCAUUGUAAUUUACCAGUUUGUGUGUAUGUGUCCUCACGUGUCAGUUACACUGGUUUCGACUGGUCAACUUCGUCCAUGGGGUGAUAGCUAGCAUACUGAUUUACGAGUUUGUGUGUAUGUGUCCUCAUGCGUCAGUUACACUGGUUUCGACUGGUCAACUUCGUCCAUGGGGUGAUAGCUAGCAUUGUAAUUUACUAGUUUGUGUGUAUGUGUCCUCACGUGUCAGUUACACUGGUUUUGACUGGUCAACUUCGUCCAUGGGGUGAUAGCUAGCAUACUGAUUUACGAGUUUGUGUGUAUGUGUCCUCAUGUGUCAGUUACACUGGUUUCGACUGGUCAACUUCGUCCAUGGGGUGAUAGCUAGCAUACUGAUUUACGAGUUUGUGUGUAUGUGUCCUCAUGUGUCAGUUACACUGGUUUCGACUGAUCAACUUCGUCCAUGGGGUGAUAGCUAGCAUACUGAUUUACGAUUUUGUGUGUAUGUGUCCUCACGUGUCAGUUACACUGGUUUCGACUGGUCAACUUCGUCCAUGGGGUGAUAGCUAUAGCAUACUGAUUUACGAGUUUGUGUGUAUAUGUGUCCUCACGUGUCAGUUACACUGGUCAACUUCGUCCAUGGGGGUGAUAGCUUAUACUAUUUAUAUUUUGCACUACAUAUGUGUUGGUAACUAUAGUGACUUCAAUCUUUUGUUCUGUAGGGGCGAAAAUGAUCUGAGGGAUGUAGCGUUCAUGAAACCAAACGAAACGCCUGCAGUUCACUGUACUGGAAUUUCAAGAAACGCUAAGUGAUGAACACUAAAAACAAUUUACUGACAGAAGAAAUUAUUGUGCUGCAUGUCAUGUGAUCCAGUGAUCUUAUUCUAUCAUAAACUCAUUGUUCUAA